CAAACCGGAUUCAAUCAAUGUCAUUAAAGUUUUCCUUAACUUCAUCUCCCCCACUCCUUCCAUGAUUCUUCAGCUCCCACCUAGCUUCCAGUCGGUGAAACUACAUAUAUAAAUAGGAAGCCCGAGACUUCACGGCGGAAGAUAAUCGUCGAAAAGGAGUGCGGCGCAGUAGGAGGAAGAAAGCGGCGGCGAUGGAGGAGAGAAAGAGGAUGAAAGCGGUUAAGAAUAAAGAGAAAGCCUUUGAUGAUAAUGAGGAAAGGUAUUAAUGGUGAGUUGGACGGAGGUUUCUGCAUAAAGUAGGCCUUUCUGACCAUCUCUCUCUGUUCUUCUCUAUUGGUUUCAAUUGGUCGAUCUAUCAUAGGUAUGCUUUUCUUUUAUCGAUGUGUCACGUUAGGUAUUUCGUGAUGCUGGUAGCUUUUAUUUAAGGAAUUCCUUGAUUUAAAGGCUAUUUCAUUGGCUAGCUUGAAGCAUUUUUAUUUGCCGGUGGUUUCAGAGUUUACCGGCGUGUUUCUAAGUCGGUGGUGAAUGUGUCUUUUGCAUAUGUGUGUUGAGAGUUCUUUUUGGGUUCUUUAGGUUAUGCUUGAUAGUUGAUACUGUGGGACCUGAUUUGCAUGGUAUCAACAAUUCUGAGAAAGCUAUUGUUCUUCUGAAGAAGCCUCUUCUGAAGUCCUUCCCGUUAAUUUAUUGCCAACGUCCAUUCUCUAUGAGAAUGAGUUGAUAUUAUAUAUCUAAUCAAUGGUUUAGUUUGUUUGCUUUUAGUUAGUUUAUUUUAAAAUUCUUCUUUUUAAGUUUCAUAUCAUGUAUAUGUAGUUCCUUAUUAUGUUUAACCAGGGAAGCUUGAAGAUCAUCAACCACCACCCCUACUUCAAAUAGAGUUACAAAACGUAGACAUAUUCUCAGUCGUCGAUAGGUGCUCAGGAGGUGGUGACGGUGAGAGAUCAGCUGGAGAAGAAGGAGCGAGAUCCAUGAUUAUCGAGUGAGAGGAGACAGAGCCAGAGAUUAACGACGCACAAGCAGAGACUUUGGACCUUGGAGUGAAGACCAGAUCUCCAAUCGAAAUCAAUGGUCAGAAUCGUCUCCGCUUAUGAACGACGGGGCCGAGAUUCACACGUGUAACUAACCACUGUUCCCGUAAGGAUCAAAAGCAAAAUCGAGCUUGCAAGAAAAUCCAUAGCAAUACCAGUGAGAGAGAGACCAGAACUCAGAGGUUUGUCCACUUUGGGUCAAGAUCAGAGAGAUAAUACAAUCAUUUUUUGCAAUGUGUAAUCUUUUUAUUCGUGUACAAACGUCAACUUUGCUUAAAUGAUUAUCUUUCCUAUGCCAUUAGUCGGGUUGUAUCAGUGAGGCCCAAUUUUUUUUUCUAAAAUUACAGGUGAAGCUAGACAAACAAUUUUUUUGGUUAAUGAUAUGACACUUACAAGGGAAGAAAUUGGUUUUU